GGGGGACAAGGUUCUGAGGGAACCUCUGGAGACAAAGGAGAUGUUGGUGACCAAGGAGAAGCUGGACCCAAAGGAGUGGUUGGAAACCCAGGAGAGCCUGGUAACAGAGGGCCAGAGGGUAGCAGAGGGCAGCCUGGCAUCGAGG